UCUGAGGCACGAAAGCGUGGGGAUCAAACAGGAUUAGAUACCCUGGUAGUCCACGCCCUAAACUAUGGAUACUCGACAUACGCGAUACACUGUGUGUGUCUGAGCGAAAGCAUUAAGUAUCCCACCUGGGAAGUACGACCGCAAGGUUGAAACUCAAAGGAAUUGGCGGGGGUCCGCACAAGCGGUGGAGCAUGCGGUUUAAUUCGAUGAUACGCGAGGAACCUUACCUGGGCUAGAAUGCUAUCUGACCGUGGGUGAAAGCUCAUUUUGUCGCAGGACACAGAUAGUAAGGUGCUGCAUGGCUGUCGUCAGCUCGUGCCGUGAGGUGUUGGGUUAAGUCCCGCAACGAGCGCAACCCCCAUCACUAGUUGCCAUCAGGUAACGCUGGGAACUCUAGUGAAACUGCCGUCGUAAGACGCGAGGAAGGAGGGGAUGAUGUCAAGUCAUCAUGGCCUUUAUGCCCAGGGCUACGCACGUGCUACAAUGGGGCGUACAAAGGGCUGCCACUUAGCGAUAAGGAGCCAACCCCAAAAU
rnacentral:rRNA from 1 species